AAAAUGUUAAUUGGAAGAAGCAAAAAGUGGAUGGCAUGGUGCCAGUAAGAUGUUAUUGAUAUGAUCUAGUCUCAAUUAAGUUAGUCGCAGACGAAAAAUAAAACCUGUAAACAAUUUCUGUCUAUGUUAACUUGUUCAAGUGUCAGUGAAACGAGCGAUAUAAAAGAAGAAGCAUUCAAACUGUUUGCAAAACUUUUGGUUUGGAUACAAAAGACCAACUAAAAAUGAUACUGGAAAGACUGUUUACCGUUUGACUCCUGUCACAAUCUAACCUAGUGGGUUCAAAAGAAAAGGACCGCGCUGGAAACAUAAGGAGGUUAAAAGGAUCAGCCCUUUUUGAAUUAAUAGUCGAAGUCGUAACCAGCCAGAAGUCGUAACCGAGCUCGUAUGAAAGGAUUUCUCGACGUGAAAUAGUUAAUUUUGUUUAACAAUGCCAAGAAACAGAGCUCGC
rnacentral:lncRNA from 1 species